UAUAAUAUGUGAAAAUGCACAUAUAAAAGUUGAUAACUCAUACUCUCUACUGCUAAAUCACGGAAUUGUACGUGUGAAAGAUUUCUCAAGAAAAUGUUUUACAGUUAAGAUAAGUGAUAGUCCACCAAAGCAUUGAAGGCUAUCUGCGAUGAGACUCUGUAGUUGUAGCAGCCAAUUUCUACAUUAAAUUUUUUGCGCCAAUUUGUACACGUUAUCCGCGCGCUACGUCAUAGUUUUUAGGGCACAUAUAUUUUUUUGUGUAUGCACGAGCUCGCUGCGAAGAAUGUGAGUAUUAUGUUCCUGUUUCACUGGACAUUGUACUGAACUGCCGUUUCCUAGAGAAACUACUUAUUCGUAUAUCGUAUGAAGUUGAGGAAGUCACAUGAUGCCAAUCAUUGACUUAAGAAUAAAUUUUCCAGGCAUACGCAUAG